rnacentral:tRNA from 1 species
UGCGAAGGUGGUAGACGCGCUAGCUUCAGGUGUUAGUGUUCUUACGGACGUGGGGGUUCAAGUCCCCCCCCUCGCACCA